GACGAACCGUGCAAACGUUGUUCGGAAUCACUGGGCUUAAAGGGUGCGUAGGCGGGCUGUCAAGUCCGGGGUGAAAGCCCUCCGCUCAACGGGGGAAUGGCCUUGGAUACUGGCGGUCUGGAGGAAGGUAGGGGCGUGCGGAACUCUCGGUGGAGCGGUGAAAUGCGUAGAUAUCGGGAGGAACGCCGGUGGCGAAAGCGGCACGCUGGACCUUUUCUGACGCUGAGGCACGAAAGCCAGGGGAGCGAACGGG
rnacentral:rRNA from 1 species